UAUCUAAUAAAGAAUCUGCCUGCAAUGCAGGAGACCCAGGUUCAAUCCCUGG
rfam:TPA: Bos taurus chromosome 13, whole genome shotgun sequence.